GGGAGACCUCUAGUACAUGUGUGCUUAAGGUGCCUAUACGACUGACCCAAAGUUUGGGGUGUGUCAGUUUUAGGUUGGUGUAAAUAAAAUGUUUGUCUCGAAUUUGUUUUGCCAAGCCAUGGAGAAGGUGAAUGUGAUUCAUCAAAGAUAUAAGGCCGCCCAAAGUCGCUAAAAGUCCUACAUAGAUGUGAGUUGAAAGGAGUUGGAGUUUAGUGUUUGUUAUUGGGUGUUUUUA
rnacentral:lncRNA from 1 species